AGCUCCAAUAGCGUAUAUUAAAGUUGCUGCAGUUAAAAAGCUCGUAGUUGCAUUUCCGAGGCAAGGGAUUAGUCCGACCUUUGGUGGGUAUUUAAUCCUCUUGCCUCGUCCUUGAGUGGUGCUUCUUGGUAUUAAGUUAUCGAGGAGAUAGCCGCUCAUCGUUUACUGUGAGAAAAUUAGAGUGUUCAAAGCAGGCUUAUGCCGUUGAAUAUAUUAGCAUGGAAUAAUAAGAUAGGACCUCGGUACUAUUGUGGUGGUUUGAGAACCAAGGUAAUGAUGAAUAGGGACAGUUGGGGGUAUUCGUAUUCAGUUGUCAGAGGUGAAAUUCUUAGAUUUACGGAAGACGAACUACUGCGAAAGCAUUUACCAAGGAUGUUUUCA
rnacentral:rRNA from 1 species